rnacentral:rRNA from 1 species
UACGUAGGUGGCAAGCGUUGUCCGGAUUUAUUGGGCGUAAAGCGAGCGCAGGUGGUUUCUUAAGUCUGAUGUGAAAGCCCACGGCUCAACCGUGGAAGGUCAUUGGAAACUGGGGAACUUGAAUGCAGAAGAGGAGAGUGGAAUUCCAUGUGUAGCGGUGAAAUGCGUAGAUAUAUGGAGGAACACCAGUGGCGAAGGCGACUCUCUGGUCUGUUAUUGACACUGAGGCUCGAAAGCGUGGGGAGCAAACAGG